AGUCCCCUCGCGGACGUUAUUUCUUACAGCUCUGAGCAAAAAUUCAAAAUGAAUCAAAACUUUCAACAACGGAUCUCUUGGUUCUGGCAUCGAUGAAGAACGCAGCGAAAUGCGAUAAGUAAUGUGAAUUGCAGAAUUCAGUGAAUCAUCGAAUCUUUGAACGCACAUUGCGCCCGCCAG
rnacentral:rRNA from 1 species